CCCUGUUUGUGGGCCUUUGGGAGGUGAUUAGGUUAUGAGUGUGGAGUGCUCAUGAAUGGGAUGAGUGCGCUCAUAAAAGAGGCCCCAGAGAUCCUUCGCCGCUUCCGCCCCGUGAGGACACAUCAGGAAGAGAGCUAUGAAUCAAGAAGAGAGCUCUCACAGGACACCAAAUCUGUCGGAGCCUUGAUCUUGGACUUCCCAGCUUCCAGAACUCAGGAAAUGACUGACCUGCCUGGCCAUGUCGAGUGACAUAUAAUCCAUGCCUGUAGCAGGGAACCCCUAAGGGGUGAACAUGAGGUUUUAGCCUCUUCCUACACCUGACAGAGAGGAGAAUGAACGGUGGACAUCAUCCCACAGAGCCGUGGCAUGCCAAGAUGCUCUGUGCCUGGAAAGCUGACCACUGUGGAUUGCAGCACUUGGACUCUAACUUCCAGGUGCGGGAGGACGAGGGUGUUUCUUCUGCUGUCUCGGGCCUCGAAAAAUCCAGAACCUGAUGCUCCAGACCCCAAAUGAGGAGGACUGGAGACCUGAGCCCUGGGAGCAUUCCACUCUGGGACUCUCUGCUUGCUGGAGUGGAAGGAACUUGUCGGCACGUGAAAUGGUGAUGGUGGAGGAAAUUGGAGGAUGGUGACCACAAAUGUGACCAGCACAGUUUGUCCUUCCGUACGUAAUGCCCUUCCCAGGAGUGAUCAGGCCACAGAUGUCCACGGGGAGGGGGAAGGGGUUCCCACUGGC